AUGUUUGUUUUGACAGCAUGCCCGCCAAAGCUGGAACAACCCAGCCAAGAUUAACAUGGCGCCUGCAAGAGGGUGACGUGCAAAGUCAUGUAAUGUUCCAUGUUGUU